UGUGUUAGUUUGAGCUUGGACU
rnacentral:siRNA from 1 species